rnacentral:rRNA from 1 species
UACGUAGGGUGCAAGCGUUGUCCGGAAUUAUUGGGCGUAAAGAGCUCGUAGGCGGUUUGUCGCGUCUGCUGUGAAAACGCGAGGCUCAACCUCGCGCCUGCAGUGGGUACGGGCAGACUAGAGUGCGGUAGGGGAGAUUGGAAUUCCUGGUGUAGCGGUGGAAUGCGCAGAUAUCAGGAGGAACACCGACGGCGAAGGCAGAUCGCUGGGCCGUAACUGACGCUGAGGAGCGAAAGCGUGGGGAGCGAACAGG